rnacentral:misc_RNA from 1 species
GAACGCACAUUGCGCCCGCUAGUAUUCUGGCGGGCAUGCCUGUUCGAGCGUCAUUUCAACCAUCAAGCCCCCGGCUUGCGUUGGAGCCCUGCGGCUGCCGCAGGCUCCCAAAUUCAGUGGCGGGCUCGUCGUCGUACCGAGUGCAGUAAACAUCCUCGCUCAGGGAACGCGUCGGGUUCUUGCCGUAAAACCCCCCUACAUCAAGGUUGACCUCGGAUCAGGUAGGAAUACCCGCUGAACUUAAG